CUACGGGCUGCUGCAGUGGGGAAUAUUGCACAAUGGGGGAAACCCUGAUGCAGCAACGCCGCGUGGAGGAUGACACAUUUCGGUGCGUAAACUCCUUUUAUAUAGGAAGAUAAUGACGGUACUAUAUGAAUAAGCACCGGCUAACUCCGUGCCAGCAGCCGCGGUAAUACGGAGGGUGCAAGCGUUACUCGGAAUUACUGGGCGUAAAGAGCGUGUAGGCGGGUUUGUAAGUUGGAUGUGAAAUCCUAUGGCUCAACCAUAGAACUGCAUCCAAAACUACUUACCUAGAGUGUGGGAGAGGUAGAUGGAAUUUCUGGUGUAGGGGUAAAAUCCGUAGAGAUCAGAAGGAAUACCGAUUGCGAAGGCGAUCUACUGGAACAUAACUGACGCUGAGACGCGAAAGCGUGGGGAGCAAACAGGAUUAGAUACCACGGUAGUC
rnacentral:rRNA from 1 species